GGCACGGAGAGCGGGCCGACACCGCACCUCCGGCGAGAGCCGCUCCGCCGCCCCCCGCCCCGCCCGCACCACCCCCCCUCCCCACCCCUCGCUCGCUGCCGUUCUCCUCCCUCUUUCCUAUCUCUCACUCUCUCUCUCCGCCGGCCUCAUCGGAGAGAGUUGUAGCUCCUUCGGGGCCUGUGUGGACUAGGGGCACAACCCGGCGCCUGACUGGCAGGAGGGAAAGCGGAGACUCCUUCAGGUUUCCAAAGAGGUCCGAGUGGACUGCAUUAUGUGAAUUGAUCAGAGAGAUCCAAAGGGACUUUGACAGGCUUGAGAGGUGGAACCAUGCAAACACCAUGAAGUUCAACAAGGCCAUGUGCAAGGCCCUGCACCUGCAUCAAGGCAAUCCAAACAUGAAUACUGAAUGAGGCAACAAGUCGAUAGAGAGCAGCCUUGUGAACAAGGACUUGUGGGGUUGGUGGAUGAAACAUGAGAUGGCAGUGUGCACUUAUGAGCUCAGAAAGCCGAUCCUAUCCUGGGCUCCCUGAAAUGGAGUGUAUCUAGCAGGUCAAAGGAGGUGUUUUUACCUCUCUGCUUCAGUCUCAUGAGAUCCAGUCUGCUGUACUGGAUUCAGCUCUGGAGCCUGCAGUGUAAAAAGACACUGAUGAGCUGAAGCAGGCCCAUAGAAGGGCCAUGAAAAUGAUCAGAACUCUGAAGCACCUCUCUUACAAAGACAGGGUGAGACAGCCAGUGGGACUGUACAACUUAAAGAAGAGGGGGCUCCAGUGAGACUUCGUUGUGGCUUUCCAGUACUUAGGCUUACAGGAAAGAGGGAGGGAUGGUGUGUUAGGGAUUGUAAUGAUAGGACAAGGGGUUUAAAACUAAAAGAGAGUAUAUUUAGAUUAGAUACUAAGAAGAAGUGAGAUGUUGGAACGGAUUGACCAGGGAAGUUGUGGACACUACUGAAAGUAUUCAAAGUGUUUAAGGCCAAUCUGGAUGGGACUUUCAGCACUAGUAGAAGGUAUCUCUGCAGGGGACAUUGUAACUACAUGAUCAAAGGUCCCUUUCAACUGAAACCAUUCUAGAAUUCUAUGAAGCAUUUAGUGUAGUACAAUAAGAAAAUGAGCUAAAUGUGUGGGACACCUGAGAAAAAUCCACAGAGACAUGUGACCAGUUCAAAACAGGCUGAAUUCUCUCAAGCAAGUGAUUAAAGCUUUUCCCAGAUUUAGUCUCAUGAAUGAGCUGGGCCAACUGUGUUUCUGUUAUAUUUCUGUUGAUAUAUUUGUG
ensembl:lncRNA